AGAGUUUGAUCCUGGCUCAGGACGAACGCUGGCGGCGUGCUUAACACAUGCAAGUCGAACGGAGCACCCCUGAAGGAGUUUUCGGACAACGGAUGGGAAUGCUUAGUGGCGGACUGGUGAGUAACGCGUGAGGAACCUGCCUUCCAGAGGGGGACAACAGUUGGAAACGACUGCUAAUACCGCAUGAUGCGUUGGAGCCGCAUGACUCCGACGUCAAAGAUUUAUCGCUGGAAGAUGGCCUCGCGUCUGAUUAGCUAGUUGGUGAGGUAACGGCCCACCAAGGCGACGAUCAGUAGCCGGACUGAGAGGUUGGCCGGCCACAUUGGGACUGAGAUACGGCCCAGACUCCUACGGGAGGCAGCAGUGGGGAAUAUUGGGCAAUGGACGCAAGUCUGACCCAGCAACGCCGCGUGAAGGAAGAAGGCUUUCGGGUUGUAAACUUCUUUUAAGGGGGAAGAGCAGAAGACGGUACCCCUCGAAUAAGCCACGGCUAACUACGUG
rnacentral:rRNA from 1 species